CCUCGAUGUCGGCUCAUCGCAUCCUGGGGCUGGAGCAGGUCCCAAGGGUUUGGCUGUUCGCCAAUUAAAGCGGUACGUGAGCUGGGUUCAGAACGUCGCGAGACAGUUCGGUCCCUAUCUGCCACAGGCGUUGGAUGGUUGCGAGGAUCUGCCCUUAGUACGAGAGGACCGGGGUGGACGAACCUCUGGUGUAUCAGUUGUCGCGCCAGCGGCACGUGCUGAGUAGCCACGUUCGGACGGGAUAACCGCUGAAGGCAUCUAAGUGGGAAGCCUUCCUCAAGAUGAACCAUCCCCGAGCCCGUGAGGCUCCUAAAGGGCCCAGCGAGAAGAGCUGGUUGAUAGGCUGGCGGUCUACGCAUGGUAACAUGUUGAGCCGACCAGUACUAAUUGCCCGUGCGGCUUGACCAU
rnacentral:rRNA from 1 species